CAGCAGCCACGGUAAUACGGAGGAUCCAAGCGUUAUCCGGAUCCAUUGGGUUUAAAGGGUGCGUAGGCGGCCUAUUAAGUCAGGGGUGAAAGACGGUAGCUCAACUAUCGCAGUGCCUUUGAUACUGAUAGGCUUGAAUGUACUUGAAGUGGGCGGAAUGUGACAAGUAGCGGUGAAAUGCAUAGAUAUGUCACAGAACACCGAUUGCGAAGGCAGCUCACUAAAGUAUGAUUGACGCUGAGGCACGAAAGCGUGGGGAUCAAACAGGAUUAGAUACCCCUGUAGUCCCUGUCUCUUAUAC
rnacentral:rRNA from 1 species